AUUGAACGCUGGCGGCAUGCUUUACACAUGCAAGUCGAACGGCAGCGCGGCCUUCGGUCUGGCGGCGAGUGGCGAACGGGUGAGUAAUGCAUCGGAACAUGCCCAGUCGUGGGGGAUAGCCCUUCGAAAGACGUAUUAAUACCGCAUACGCCCUGAGGGUGAAAGCGGGGGAUCGAAAGACCUCGCGCUAUUGGAGUGGCCGAUGUCGGAUUAGCUAGUUGGUGGGGUAAAGGCCUACCAAGGCGACGAUCCGUAGCUGGUCUGAGAGGAUGACCAGCCACACUGGGACUGAGACACGGCCCAGACUCCUACGGGAGGCAGCAGUGGGGAAUUUUGGACAAUGGGGGCAACCCUGAUCCAGCCAUGCCGCGUGAGUGAAGAAGGCCUUCGGGUUGUAAAGCGCUUUCGGUAGGAAAGAAAUGCUGUGGGCUAAUACAGCGCGGUGAUGACGGUACCGGAAGAAGAAGCACCGGCUAACUACGUG
rnacentral:rRNA from 1 species